rnacentral:tRNA from 2 species
ACCUAAAUAGCUUAUGUUUAGAGUAUUACAUUGAAGAUGUAAUGGAAAUGUUUUAUUUUUAGGUA